GAAAUGCGAUAAGUAAUGUGAAUUGCAGAAUUCAGUGAAUCAUCGAAUCUUUGAACGCACCUUGCGCUCCUUGGUAUUCCUUGGAGCAUGCCUGUUUGAGUAUCAUGAAAUCUUCAAAGUAAAUCUUUUGUUAACUCAAUUGGUUUCUACUUUGGUAUUGGAGGUCUUUGCAGCUUCACACCUGCUCCUCUUUGUUCAUUAGCUGGAUCUCAGUGUUAUGCUUGGUUCCACUCUGCGUGAUAAGUUAUCUAUCGCUUAGGACACUGUAAAAGGUGGCCAAGGUAAAUGCAGAUGAACCGCUUCUAAUAGUCCAUUGACUUGGACAAUACUUUUAUGAUCUGAUCUCAAAUCAGGUAGGACUACCCGCUGAACUUAAGC
rnacentral:misc_RNA from 1 species